UUGUGUAAUUUCCAAUGGUACUUGAAAGCAGCAUCAGCGACAACAGCAGCUCCUGCGUGUGCUUAUUAUUUUUAUUAAAUAUAACAAUAUGAGUGUAGGAAUGACAAUCCAGCCCUUAUGUACAUGUGGCAACAGGUACAUAAUUCAAAUGAUUACAUAAAGAGGUGUUC